GGCCCUUUGGCCCAAUGGUAAGGCGUCUGACUACGACCAAAAACGUCUGUUACGGUAUAGUUAAUCAGGAGAUUCUGGGUUCGAGCCCCAGGAGGGUCA